UGCCGAAGAAGAUGAACACUUGAGACAAUGGACUGGGAGAGGCAGAGCCACCCUCCCUCUGGGUGGGCACCCAGCUGCCAGCGCAGCUGCAAGCGCAGCUAGAAUCAGCUUCCAGCACAGCUAGAGUAAAGCAGGCAGAGGAACGCGGAAGGGUUAGACUGCCUGAGUCUCCCGACCUUCGUCUUUCCCCUGUGCCGGAUGCUUCCUGCCCUCAAACAUCGGACUCCAGGUUCUUCAGCUUUUGGACUCUUGGACUCACACCAGGGGUUUGCCAGGGGCUCUCGGGCCUUUGGCCACAGACUGAAGGCUGCGCUAUCGGCGUCCCUACUUUUGGGGAUUGGGACUUGUACUGGCUUCCUUGCUCCUCGGCUUGCAAACAGCCUACUGUGGGACCUCACCCUGUGAUCAUGUACAUCAGGGAAAGGUGCGUCCCUCCCAGUGAAGCUGGAAGGUUGAAGUCCUGACACCUCCCGCGGUCUGAGCAGCUGCGCGAUGAACUGGAUAGUGCUGGAAUGUGGGACAACGGAGGCAGACUCAGAAGUCGGAACAUUGUUUCAGGAUCACACAGAAAGAGACAUGAUUUUCAUAGAUCUUCGUGUGAGCUCGUCUCUCUUUCAAUUAUCUCUCCUCCAAUGUUGCUUCCUUGGCUGAAGGAAAAAUGAGCCCUCAUCCCACACCCUGCAGCCUCGCCGUAGUUGCUUUGCAGCGGAGCCUGGCCGCAGAUGAACUGUUCAUGUUCUGGGUCUCCUUCCAGAACAUACCUCAAGACAAAGGAUUGCAGAUGGGCAUCGUAUUUUCCAUCUAGGCGCAUGCUCAAGGGAACUGAGAAAAUCUGUUACCUGCAUAAUAAUUAUCAUCAUCCCUGGAUGUGGAAACCAAGGCUGAAAGGGGGAAGAGGACGUGGUUUCCUGAUAGCAGAGCUCGGGUGGAAACCAGAUUUUUCCACUCCAGAUCCUGCUUUCUGCUCAUGCCGAUUCCAAUGAAUGUGAGCCUUGGGUGCUGCCUCUGACACCUGCUGUGCAGCCAGAAGCAGUGUGCAGGAUGCAGGCAGUUUGCCUCCCACACCGUGACAGGUAAUGCCGGCCUAAGCUAUCAUCCACUAAAAGAAUAGGGCUAUGGCCGGGCACGGUGGCUCACACCUGUAAUGUCAGCACUUUGGGAGGCUGAAGUGGGCAGAUCACGAGGUCAAGAGAACGAGACCAUCCUGGCCAACAUAGUGAAACCCUCUCUCAACUAAAAUAUAAAAAAAGUAGCUGGGUGUGGUGGUGCGCAUCUGUAGUCCCAGCAACUCGGGAAGCUGAUGCAAGACAAUUAUUUGAACUUGGGAGGUGG